CGGCGACGGAGCUGCCGUGGGGAGGGAUGGAGAGGGGAGGGGGGAGCGGAGCCGAGCGGAGACAGCCGCGGCGCUGCAGAGCGGCUGGGGCGGCGGCGCGGCUCCCGGUGCUCCCCCCGGCGCGCGCCCCGAGUCGGUGAGGGCCCGGCCCGGCGGCCCCCGGAGCCAUGGGCUGCAUCGGCUCCCGGACUGUGGGGAACGAGGUGAUUGCAGUGGAUUGGAAGGGCCUGAAGGAUGUCGAUCAAAUCAACAUGGACAGCACCAGCUCACUGCAUGGGAGCAGCCUCCAUCGGCCAUCGACUGAGCAAACUCGAACUGAUUUCUCCUGGGACGGCAUCAACGUGAGUGCAGCUGCCCCCAGACCUCCCCAUCCUCCCGAACUCCUCCUCCACAUCUUCUCCCUUGCACCUUCCAACCAGCACGGUAUUCCCUGGCUCCAAUAGGCACUGUGAGCACUCACGUUCUCAACCUGUGCCCCAGUUUUCCAGAGCACUGGGGAUAUAUCCCUCCUUGGGACUCUUGGGUAUAGUAGCUUUUCUUAUCAUCUGCCCUAGCUCGAAUGCUUUUUCCUGGAAACCAUGAACCUCCUCCAUGUAUAAAGCACGCCCGUACCUUCUUAUUCCUCUGCCCUUCCUCCCACAUUCCCAUCCCAGCUCUCCAUGGAGGACACCACUUCCAUUCUUCCGAAGCUUAAGCGAAACUCUAACGCCUAUGGCAUUGGGGCCCUGGCCAAGUCAUCAUUCUCAGGGAUCUCACGGAGCAUGAAGGACCAUGUGACAAAGCCCACAGCCAUGGGGCAAGGCCGGGUGGCCCACAUGAUUGAGUGGCAGGGCUGGGGGAAGACACCAGCUGUUCAGCCACAACACAGCCAUGAGGCCGUGCGCA
rnacentral:sRNA from 1 species